UACAGAGGGGGCAAGCGUUGUUCGGAAUUAUUGGGCGUAAAGGGCGCGUAGGCGGUGCGGUAAGUCACCUGUGAAAUCUCUGGGCUCAACUCAGAGUCUGCAGGCGAAACUGCCGUGCUUGAGUGUGGGAGAGGUGAGUGGAAUUCCCGGUGUAGCGGUGAAAUGCGUAGAUAUCAGGAGGAACACCUGUGGUGUAGACAGCUUACUGGACCACUUCUGACGCUGAGACACGAAAGCGUGGGUAGCAAACAGG
rnacentral:rRNA from 1 species